rnacentral:rRNA from 1 species
GAUGAACGCUGGCGGCGUGCCUAAUACAUGCAAGUCGAGCGAAUGGAUUAAGAGCUUGCUCUUAUGAAGUUAGCGGCGGACGGGUGAGUAACACGUGGGUAACCUGCCCAUAAGACUGGGAUAACUCCGGGAAACCGGGGCUAAUACCGGAUAAUAUUUUGAACUGCAUGGUUCAAAAUUGAAAGGCGGCUUCGGCUGUCACUUAUGGAUGGACCCGGGUCGCAUUAGCUAGUUGGUGAGGUAACGGCCUACCAAGACGAUGAUGCGUAGCCGAACUGGGAGGGGGAGCGGCCACACUAGGAAUGAGACACGCCCAAGACUCCGACGGGAGGCAGCAGUAGGGAAUUUUCGGCAAUGGCGCAAGCCUGACCGAUAAAGGCCGCGUGAGGGAUUAAGGCCUUCGGGUUGUAAAGCUCUGUUGUAAGGGAAGAACAUUCAGGAUAGGAAAUGAUCUUGAACUGACGGUACCUUACCAGAAAGCCACGGCUAACUACGUGCCAGCAGCCGCGGUAA